AACGAACGCUGGCGGCGCGCCUAAUACAUGCAAGUCGAGCGAGAAGACGUAGCAAUACGUUUGUAAAGCGGCGAACGGGUGAGGAAUACAUGGGUAACCUACCCUCGAGUGGGGAAGUAACUAGCCGAAGGUUAGCUAAUACCGCGUACGCUCCUUGGACUUCGGUUCAGGGAGGAAAGCGAUACCGUGGGUAUCGCGCUCUUGGAUGGGCUCAUGUCCUAUCAGCUUGUUGGUGAGGUAACGGCUCACCAAGGCUUCGACGGGUAGCUGGUCUGAGAGGACGAUCAGCCACACUGGCACUGCGACACGGGCCAGACUCCUACGGGAGGCAGCAGUAAGGAAUAUUGCGCAAUGGGCGAAAGCCUGACGCAGCGACGCCG
rnacentral:rRNA from 1 species